GAUGAACGCUGGCGGCGUGCCUAAUACAUGCAAGUCGAGCGAACAGACGAGGAGCUUGCUCCUCUGACGUUAGCGGCGGACGGGUGAGUAACACGUGGAUAACCUACCUAUAAGACUGGGAUAACUUCGGGAAACCGGAGCUAAUACCGGAUAAUAUAUUGAACCGCAUGGUUCAAUAGUGAAAGACGGUUUUGCUGUCACUUAUAGAUGGAUCCGCGCCGCAUUAGCUAGUUGGUAAGGUAACGGCCUACCAAGGCAACGAUGCGUAGCCGACCUGAGAGGGUGAUCGGCCACACUGGAACUGAGACACGGUCCAGACUCCUGCGGGAGGCAGCAGUAGGGAAUCUUCCGCAAUGGGCGAAAGCCUGACGGAGCAACGCCGCGUGAGUGAUGAAGGUCUUCGGAUCGUAAAACUCUGUUAUUAGGGAAGAACAAAUGUGUAAGUAACUAUGCACGUCUUGACGGUACCUAAUCAGAAAGCCACGGCUAACUACGUG
rnacentral:rRNA from 1 species